rnacentral:rRNA from 1 species
CCAAUAGCGUAUAUUAAAGUUGUUGCAGUUAAAAAGCUCGUAGUUGAAUUUCGGGGUCAGUAGGUCGGUCGUGCCACAGGUAUGCACUGGUCUCACUGAUUCCUCCUUCCUGAUGAACCGUAAUGCCAUUAAUUUGGUGUUGCGGGGAGACUGGACUGUUACUUUGGAAAAAUUAGAGUGUUUAAAGCAGGCUAACGCUUGAAUACAUUAGCAUGGAAUAACGGAAUAGGACGUUCGAUCUUAUUUUGUUGGUUUCUAAGAUUGACGUAAUGAUUAAUAGGGAUAGUUGGGGGCAUUAGUAUUCAAUUGUCAGAGGUGAAAUUCUUGGAUUUAUUGAAGACUAACUACUGCGAAAGCAUUUGCCAAGGAUGUUUUCAUUAAUCAAGAACGAAAGUUAGGGGAUCGAAGACGAUCAGAUACCGUCGUAGUCUUAACCAUAAACUAUGCCGACUAGGGAUCGGAUGAUGUUAAUUUUUUAAUGACUCAUUCGGCGCCUUACG